rnacentral:misc_RNA from 1 species
UCCGGUUUAACACCGGCAGUCUCCUCAGAGUGCCCAACUUAAUGGUGGCAACUAAGGACAAGGGUUGCGCUCGUUGCGGGACUUAACCCAACAUCUUACGACACGAGCUGACGACAGCCAUGCAGCACCUAUCUCCACGUCCCCGAAGGGAAAGCUCCAUCUCUGGAGUUGUCGUGGGAUGUUAAGACCAGGUAAGGUUCUGCGCGUUGCUUCGAAUUAAACCACAUGCUCCACCGCUUGUGCGGGCCCCCGUCAAUUCCUUUGAGUUUCAUUCUUGCGGCCGUACUCCCCAGGCGGGGCACUUAACGCGUUAGCUGCGGCACCGAAGGGGUCGCUCCCCCCGGCACCUAGUGCCCAUCGUUUACGGCGUGGACUAC